rnacentral:rRNA from 1 species
GAUGAACGCUGGCGGCGUGCCUAAUACAUGCAAGUCGAGCGAACAGACGAGAGUGCUUGCACUCUCUGACGUUAGCGGCGGACGGGUGAGUAACACGUGGGUAACCUACCUAUAAGACUGGGAUAACUUCGGGAAACCGGAGCUAAUACCGGAUAAUAUUUAGCUUCGCAUGAAGCAAUAGUGAAAGACGGUUCUGCUGUCACUUAUAGAUGGACCCGCGGUGUAUUAGCUAGUUGGUGAGGUAACGGCUCACCAAGGCAACGAUACAUAGCCGACCUGAGAGGGUGAUAGGCCACACUGGGACUGAGACACGGUCCAGACUCCUACGGGAGGCAGCAGUAGGGAAUCUUCCGCAAUGGACGAAAGUCUGACGGAGCAAUGCCGCGUGAGUGAAGAAGGUUUUCGGAUCGUAAAACUCUGUUGUAAGGGAAGAACAAGUACGUUAGUAACUGAACGUACCUUGACGGUACCUGACCAGAAAGCCACGGCUAACUACGUG